rnacentral:misc_RNA from 1 species
GCCAUUAUCGAUCUGAAUGGCCUAUGAAGCAGGUUCUGCUAAGCAUCUUCAGCAUCCACAAUGAGACUUUAAAUGUUUGGACGCAUUUGAUUGGGUUCUUCCUUUUCCUUUCCCUGACCAUAUACACUGCCAUGAAGGUUCCAAAGGUUGUUCCAGAUGUGUUGAAAGCUGAUUUGCACAAAUUGCAUGAAUGCCUUCCUUCUUUACCCACCAUGCCUAAUAUUCACAAACUUAGGGAGGAAAUAAAGACUACAUUGCCCUCAAUGGAUUUGCUCCCAUCUCUCUCAG